rnacentral:rRNA from 1 species
ACGCACGCUGGCGGCGUGCUUCACCCAUGCAAGUCGCACGGGAAGGCCCUGCUUUUGUGGGGUGCUCGAGUGGCGAACGGGUGAGUAACACGUGAGUAACCUGCCCUUGACUUUGGGAUAACUUCAGGAAACUGGGGCUAAUACCGGAUAGGCGCUCCUGCUGCAUGGUGGGGGUUGGAAAGUUUCGGCGGUUGGGGAUGGACUCGCGGCUUAUCAGCUUGUUGGUGGGGUAGUGGCUUACCAAGGCUUUGACGGGUAGCCGGCCUGAGAGGGUGACCGGCCACAUUGGGACUGAGAUACGGCCCAGACUCCUACGGGAGGCAGCAGUGGGGAAUAUUGCACAAUGGGCGGAAGCCUGAUGCAGCAACGCCGCGUGCGGGAUGACGGCCUUCGGGUUGUAAACCGCUUUCGCCUGUGACGAAGCGUGAGUGACGGUAAUGGGUAAAGAAGCACCGGCUAACUACGUG